rnacentral:tRNA from 1 species
GCGGCUAUCGUCUAGUGGUUAGGACAUCGGGUUUUCAUCCCGGUAACCGGAGUUCAAUUCUCCGUAGCCGUACCA